CAAGAAUAGAACUAGUUUGAUUAGUUGCAAAUGGCACAAAGAACAUUAUAUUUGCAUCAUAUAUAUGUACUUGCUGAUUUGAUAUACAAGCUGUAAUCCAUCCAUACUAUUGAUAUACAAGAGUGGAUGGAAAAAUGGGAAUAAAGUUGAUUAUAUUCUUUGUUUAUUUGAAUAUAUAAUAAUUAGAACAUAAGCUGGCACUAGAUGAAACUCUAAGAAAGGCUUGUGUAAGUACUCUUAAAUCCUUAACUAGAGGUUUACAAUUAAUUACAAGUUUUGAGAUAUGAAUUAACUUUUGAUAAAGAGUACUCUAUUGCCCGAAAUUAUAGUUAAUUUCCGAUACAAAUCUAGACUAGUCAGACUCCAAAGUGGUAGUCAUAAAGCGGGUCCAAACAUCGGGUGGAAAGCUAAAAAAAAAAUACUAAAAAGUGUUAGAGAAUCAAUUUAGACAUCCCAAGACAAAUAAGGUUAGGCCUUGAACAUUUUCAAACUAAAACAAAGAGGAAAAAGAAGAAAAAAAGACGAGGAAGUGAUCUUAUUUUCUACAACAUUGCCACUUGCAAGAGAAUUCUCGAGGUAGUUCUAAUAAGCCGUAAUUAGGAUUUUGAGUUUAUGGGUUCUGUAUUUUAGGAAAUGUAGUUUACUGGAUUUUAAAUAAAUAAUUUAUGCAUAUAAUUUUUUUUUAAACACAAAUAGAGGGUCUAGGCCAAAACUGUUGAGUUUUACCGAACCUAUACACAAGCUUGUGGCUCCGCCCCUAUAAAUAUACCAUCAAUGUUGCUGAAGAGAACUUGAACAUAUUAAAGUGGUUUUACUCUUAGCAGUUAUUUUUUUAUCUCGGACCCGAUGUUCGGUAUCCGCUUUCUGGCUAAUACGAAUUCGUGCUGCAUAAGGCAUAUUAAAAAAGCAAGCGACCUUACCAAAAACAAUUUCAUACUCACUAAUUAAACCUGUGACUUAUGAUUAAGAGUGGAUCUUGUCCAAAAUCUCACAACCCUCUUGGUGAUACUCUUUGACACUCCUUUCUUCACCGUAAUGUACCUAAUCUUAUUUAUCUGAAUGGUGAGGAAAAGGAAGUUAGCAGCAUUCUCAAAGCAAGUAGUUUUCUGCUAUGUUGCUUGGACUCUUCAAAGAUGUUGUUGGAUGUAUGUCGAAUCCUCCAAAUUUAAUGUAUUUUUGGAGAACCCGGCACAGAUGCGGCAACACUUUUGGAGAGUUCUAUGUGCAGCGUUCUUUUUGCUUGUAUCUGCUGAUUAUACCCCAAUUAUUGUUUGAUCAGUAUAUAUUGCCUCUUUGCCGUUUAUCCUUAGUUAUAUUUUUUCUCACUUUUUCAAGGAGAGUUUGCUUAUUGCUUUCUUUUCAUUGUUCUUGAGUCGAGGGUUUAUCGGAAAUAACCUCUCUAUAUUUAUAAGGCAUAGGCACGGUCAGCGUACGCAUUACCCUCACCGGAUCCCACUUGUAAAAUUCCACCGGAUUUGUUGUUGUUGUACUUUUCAAGGAGUGUGCCUCAAUUAGCAAAUUCUUGUAUUCAUUACUUUGUGGAAAACAUCUAAAGACUAAUUUUUGUUUGAUUAAACUUUUAUGUUUGAAGCCCUAACUCUAAUGUCAAUGCAUAAUUAAAAUAUCCUUUGAAAAUCAACUUGAUCUUUUAACCUUGCAACAUUGACCUUUUCCACGUCCUAUAUGGCAAUUUCUACCAAGAAUGACUUCAAUUCAAACAUCUAGACAACAACAACAACAACCAAAGCCUCAGACUCAAACAAAUUAGGGUCGGCUAUAUAAUUUUCACUAACCAUGUUACUUCAUAUAACUCAUCUCCGGCCAUACAAUAGGAAGUAAAAUAAUAUGUAAUAAUAGUUAUAAUACACAAAAUAAUAAACGAAUAAUAGUAAUGAGUAGCUAAUAAUAAUAAUAAUAAAAAUAGGGUAAAAUAAUUUUAGACUACAAUUUAGAGACGCGAAAGAAAUGAAGAAGUAGAAGUAUAAUGAGUAGCUCAACUAAUUAACGUUAAGAUGAUUUCAAACUUAAUUAAUCCUCUUUCUUUAAACCGAAUGCAGUUGUCAAACUAGCUCGAACCCAUUCUUUCUAUAUAUUAUUGACUAAUAUGUACCCGUAGAAUUACUAAACAGUAAUUACAUCGAUAAUAUACAAAUACACAGAAAGAGAUAGCGGGAGAGAAGAGAGAGGGAAUUACAUGUAAUUGUAGCUUCAUAGCAUCCCCUUGAAAAGGCGUUUCUCUUCAGGUACAUGGUAAAUUAAGGACUAGAGAGAUCCAGUGAUCUGUUUAAGGAGAAGCUGCAAAGGCACAAAAUUAAGAUAAGCAUAUAGUUUUAUAGCAUUAUUUAAGUAAACAUUAAAGUUGAUAGAUAACCUGUUAAAGCAUAGAAAUUCAGGAGUAUAUAUCUUACAAAUCAAGCGAAAACCAACAAUCUGGACAUUAUUCUAUGCUUAGCGCUAAUCUUGUGAAUACAUAAACUAUUAAUCUCAGAUCUUCUGUAAUCUGACAAAAGCUGCACAACAAAAGAGGACUGCAAAAGUAGCACUCGGUUAUGUGAAUCAUGACCCCACCUUCCAAUUUCUUUCCUUUUAUAGAAGUUUGUUUUUGCAAGAAAUAUCCCCAAUAAGAAAACCUAAAUUAUGAGAUACGGAGAUAAUUUAGAAGAAAUGGAAGAAAGAGAGCGAAAGAGCGGUGAAGGUGAUGACGGAAGCAUAGAGAGCACAAAUGAAUUGAGAUGCUUUUUUUUUUGCAGUUUAAUUGAUUCAGUGCCCUCUCCAAUCCCAGAUUUAGCAGCAUGAUCAUCAUCUGUGCUCUCUAUCUUCUGUCAACAAUCUCACACCGACUCUUGCCCUUCUUCCAUACAAAGUAGAAGUAGCGCCGCAGUACCGGUUCAUUUGACCUUGAUACUUCAUAAAUUGAUAUGUAAAAUUCUAUUCAAAUUGUAACAAAUAAUAGGUCUGAACCUAUAAUAAAAUAAAAUUAUGCGCAUAGAAGUUAAAUCAUGCAUCGCUUUUGAUUCUAUGUACAGAAAAGAGUUGUGGAAAGAAAAGCAGCAAAUAUAGUAGUUGAUGUUUUAUUCUUUUAUCACGAACAAGAAAAUGAAGGGCAAGAUUUUUCUUUGAGGAUGGUGGGUGGGUGAGUGAUUGUGGCUGGUGUUUAAUGCAGAACGAGUUGUGGUAGGGCUACUUUUUGGGAUGGGGAAAUAUAAUAAUUUGUGGUGGACUGCCCCAUUUAG
rnacentral:lncRNA from 1 species